UACCCUCGGGUGGGGGAUAACCUCGGGAAACUGAGGCUAAUACCCCAUAGGCCUCGGAUACUGGAAGGUUCCGAGACCGAAAGCUCCGGCGCCCGAGGAUGGGUCUGCGGCCUAUCAGGUAGUUGGUGGUGUAAAGGACCACCAAGCCUACGACGGGUACGGGCCCUGAGAGGGGGAGCCCGGAGAUGGACUCUGAGACACGAGUCCAGGCCCUACGGGGCGCAGCAGGCGCGAAACCUUCGCAAUGCGCGAAAGCGCGACGAGGGGAGCCCGAGUGCCCUUCCUUUCGGGAGGGCUUUUCUGGAGCCUAAAAAGCUCCAGGAAUAAGGGCUGGGCAAGACGGGUGCCAGCCGCCGCGGUAAUACCCGCAGCUCGAGUGGUGGCCACUAUUAUUGAGCCUAAAGCGUCCGUAGCCGGACCCGUAAAUCCCUGGGUAAAUCCUGGCGCUCAACGUCAGGAAUUCCGGGGAGACUGCGGGUCUUGGGACCGGGAGAGGCCGGAGGUACUCCCGGGGUAGGGGUAAAAUCCUGUAAUCCCGGGGGGACCACCUGUGGCGAAAGCGUCCGGCUUGAACNGCUCCGACGGUGAGGGACGAANGCCAGGGGAGCAAACCNGAU
rnacentral:rRNA from 1 species